AGGUACGGCUUCUACUACUGAUGAUAAUCUUAGAUCAACGCAGGUGAUGACUCAAGGUACGGCUUCUAUUACUGAUGAUAAUCUUAGAUCAACGCAGGUGAUGACUCAAGGUACGGCUUCUAUUACUGAUGAUAAUCUUAGAUCAACG